rnacentral:rRNA from 1 species
UAUCAAAAACAUCGCCUUUUGCAAAGCAUAAAAGGUCUAGCCUGCCCACUGAARUUUUAAAGGGCCGCGGUAUUUUGACCGUGCAAAGGUAGCAUAAUCAUUAGUCUUCUAAUUAAAGGCUGGAAUGAAUGGUUGGACGAGGUGUUAACUGUCUCAUUAAGAUUAAAUUAGAAUUUAACCUUUCAGUCAAAAGGCUGAAAUGAAAUUGGAGGACGAGAAGACCCUAUAGAGCUUGAUAUUUGAAAAGUUUAAUCUUUUUAGGUGAAUUUUGAUUUAACUAUAAAAAUAUUUCGUUGGGGUGACGGGGAGAUAUAACAAACUCUUUUUAAAAUUGUACAUUGAUGUAUGAAUAAUUGAUCCAUUAAUAGUGAUUAUAAGACUAAGUUACCUUAGGGAUAACAGCGUAAUCUUUUUCAAGAGUUCUAAUCGACAAAAAGGGUUGCGACCUCGAUGUUGGAUUAAGGGUUAUUUUUGGGUGUAGAAGUUCAAAGUUUGGGUCUGUUCNACCCUUGAAUCCUUACAUGAUCUGAGUUCAAA